UACGGAGGAUCCAAGCGUUAUCCGGAUUCACUGGGUUUAAAGGGUGCGUAGGUGGAAUGACAAGUCAGUGGUGAAAACCUGCAGCUUAACUGUAGAACUGCCAUUGAUACUGUUAUUCUUGAGUACAUUUGAUGUGAGUGGAAUGUGUCGUGUAGCGGUGAAAUGCUUAGAUAUGACACAGAACACCAAUUGCGAAGGCAGCUCACAAAGCUGAUAACUGACACUGAGGCACGAAAGCGUGGGGAUCAAACAGG
rnacentral:rRNA from 1 species